rnacentral:rRNA from 1 species
GACGAACGCUGGCGGCGUGCUUAACACAUGCAAGUCGAACGGAAAGGCCCGGCUCUUGUUGGGUGCUCGAGUGGCGAACGGGUGAGUGAAACGUGAGUAAACUGCACUUGAAUGUGGGAUAACUUCUGGAAACUGGGGCUAUUACCGCGUAGAAGCUACUGCUGCACAGGGGGGAUUGGAAAAUGUCGGCGGUUUGGGCUGGACUGGAGGCUUAUCAGCUUGUUGGUGAGGUAGUGGCGUACCAAGGCUUUGACGGGUAGCCGGCCUGAGAGCGUGACCGGCCACCUUGCUCCUGAGGUACGCCGCAGUCUCCUACGUUACGCAGCGGUGGGGAGUAUUGCACAGUGGGCGCAAGCCUGAUGUAGCAACGCCGCGUGCGGGAUGAUCUCUUUCGGGUUGUAAACCACUUUCUCCGGAGCCGAAGCCGUAGUGACGGUAACGGGUCAAGAAGCCCCGGCUAACUACGUG